UGGGCGUAAGAGCGCGUAGGCGGUCUGUUAAGUGUGAAGUGAAAUCUCCAGGGCUCAACCCGGAAACUGCUUUACAUACUGGCAGACUUGAGGAAUGCAGAGGUUUGUGGAAUUCCUGGUGUAACGGUGAAAUGUGUUGAUAUCAGGAGGAACACCCAUGGCGAAGGCAGCAAACUGGGCAUUAUCUGACGCUGAGGCGCGAAAGCGUGGGUAGCAAACAGGAUUAGAUACCCUGGUAGUCCACGCCCUAAACGAUGGAUACUAGGCGUAAGAGGUAUCGACCCCUCUUGUGCCGCAGCUAACGCAUUAAGUAUCCCGCCUGGGGAGUACGGCCGCAAGGUUGAAACUCAAAUGAAUUGACGGGGACCCGCACAAGCGGUGGAGCAUGUGGAUUAAUUCGAUACUAACCGAAGAGCCUUACCCAGGUUUGACAUCGAUCGCAAAGCCCAGAGAUGGGCUCCUCCCCCACAAGGGGACGUGAAGACACUUGUUGCAUGGCUGUCGUCAGCUCGUGCCGUGAGGUGUACGGUUAAGUCCGCCAACGAGCGCAACCCUCGUCCUGUGUUACCAGCGAGUAAAGUCGGGGACUCACAGGAGACCGCCGGUGUAAGCCGGAGGAAGGUGAGGAUGACGUCAAGUCAGCAUGGCAGUUACGCCUGGGGCUUCACACAUGCUACAAUGGGCGAAACAAAGGGCAGCAAUACCGCGAGGUGGAGCAAAUCCCAAAAAUACGCCCCCAGUUCAGAUUGCAGUCUGCAACUCGACUGCAUGAAGGCGGAAUCGCUAGUAAACGCAGGUCAGCUAUACUGCGUUGAAUACGUUCCCGGG
rnacentral:rRNA from 1 species